CCUACGGGAGGCUGCAGUGAGGAAGAUUGGUCAAUGGGCGCGAGCCUGAACCAGCCAAGUAGCGUGAAGGAUGACUGCCCUACGGGUUGUAAACUUCUUUUAUAAAGGAAUAAAGUGAGGCACGUGUGCCUUGUUGUAUGUACGUUAUGAAUAAGGAUCGGCUAACUCCGUGCCAGCAGCCGCGGUAAUACGGAGGAUCCGAGCGUUAUCCGGAUUUAUUGGGUUUACAGGGAGCGUAGAUGGGUUGUUAAGUCAGUUGUGAAAGUUUGCGGCUCAACCGUAAAAUUGCAAUUGAUACUGGCAGUCUUGAUUUCAGUUGAGGUCGGCGGCAUUCGUGUUGUAGCGGUG
rnacentral:rRNA from 1 species